rnacentral:tRNA from 1 species
AAACUUGUAAAUAAAAGAAUGGCAUAACAUUGCAAAUGUUAAAAUAAUAUUC